UACGUAGGGGGCAAGCGUUGUCCGGAAUCAUUGGGCGUAAAGCGCGUGUAGGCGGCCCGGUAAGUCCGCUGUGAAAGUCGGGGGCUCAACCCUCGAAUGCCGGUGGAUACUGUCGGGCUAGAGUGCGGGAGAGGCGAGUGGAAUUCCCGGUGUAGCGGUGAAAUGCGCAGAUAUCAGGAGGAACACCAAUUGCGAAGGCAGCUCGCUGGAACGUAACUGACGCUGAGACGCGAAAGCGUGGGGAGCAAACAGG
rnacentral:rRNA from 1 species